UAGGGAAUCUUCCACAAUGGACGCAAGUCUGAUGGAGCAACGCCGCGUGAGUGAAGAAGGUUUUCGGACCGUAAAGCUCUGUUGUUGUGAAGAAGGAUAGAGGUAGUAACUGGCCUUUAUUUGACGGUAAUCAACCAGAAAGUCACGGCUAACUACGUGCCAGCAGCCGCGGUAAUACGUAGGUGGCAAGCGUUGUCCGGAUUUAUUGGGCGUAAAGCGAGCGCAGGCGGAAGAAUAAGUCUGAUGUGAAAGCCCUCGGCUUAACCGAGGAAUUGCAUCGGAAACUGUUUUUCUUGAGUGCAGAAGAGGAGAGUAGAACUCCAUGUGUAGCGGUGGAAUGCGUAGAUAUAUGGAAGAAUACCAGUGGCGAAGGCGGCUCUCUGGUCUGCAACUGACGCUGAGGCUCGAAAGCAUGGGUAGCGAACAGGAUUAGAUACCCUGGUAGUCCAUGCCGUAAACGAUGAGUGCUAAGUGUUGGGAGGCUUCCGCCUCUCAGUGCUGCAGCUAACGCAUUAAGCACUCCGCCUGGGGGAGUACGACCGCAAGGUUGAA
rnacentral:rRNA from 1 species